rnacentral:misc_RNA from 1 species
ACGUCUCUCGAGGACUUGGUUGCAGGCGAUGACGAGCGCGUCGCGCGCUGCGACGAUCUUGCUUAAGGUACUCCAGCGCCAAUCUCUCCGUAUUCUCAAACCUCGCGCUCGUCGACCCUCGCAUCCUCUUGCCGUGCAAGUCCGG